ACGAGGCACGGCAACCGGAGGUGGCAAGUCCGAUG
rnacentral:antisense_RNA from 1 species